rnacentral:rRNA from 1 species
GUAAUCUUAACGGCUGCGGUAUUUUGACCGUACAAAGGUAGCAUAAUGAUUAGGUUUUUAAAUGAAAUCUGGAAUGAAUGGAUUGACAAAAAAGAAGCUGUCUCAGUUAUAAAUAUAUAAUUUAACUUUAAGAGUGAAAAGGCCUUAAUAUUUCAAAGGGAAGAUAAGACCCUAUAAAGCAUUUUACUGGGGCGGUAUAUUAUAACUAUUAACUAAUAUAAUUUAUAAAUCAUUGAUAAAUGAAAAGAUCCUUUAAAGAUUAAAAAAUUAAGUUACUUUAGGGAUAACAGCGUUAUUUUUUUGGAGAGUUCUUAUUAAAAAAAAAGAUUGCGACCUCGAUGUUGAAUUAAAUAGAUUUCUUUAUGGUGCAGAAGCUAUAAAAGAAGGUCUGUUCGACCUUUAAAUAUUU